UACGGGGGGGGGCAAGCGUUGUUCGGAAUUAUUGGGCGUAAAGAGCUCGUAGGCGGUGUGUCGCGUCGGCCGUGAAAACCUGCAGCUUAACUGUGGGCUUGCGGUCGAUACGGGCAUCACUGGAGUUCGGCAGGGGAGACUGGAAUUCCUGGUGUAGCGGUGAAAUGCGCAGAUAUCAGGAGGAACACCGGUGGCGAAGGCGGGGUCUCUGGGCCGAUACUGACGCUGAGGAGCGAAAGCGUGGGGAGCGAACAGG
rnacentral:rRNA from 1 species